UCGUCUUCUCUAACCCUAGCCAUCUUUCCACCGCCGCCACCCACCCCUCUUCUUCUCCUCCGUUUCCCCCAACCGCCGCCAUCAUCACUGCCCACCAAAAACUUUCUCCUCUCUUUCCUUCCAUCUCGUCAGAUCCCGAUUUCCCGAUCCUCCCAUCUCUCUCCGAUUCCGCAUAGAUCCGGCCCUCCCAGAGCCAGAUCCCCACCUUCUCCGUGACCCAUUAUACCGUGAACAAUGUACUCGGCCGCAGCGGUAGCGCCUGUGUGCCCAAUAUGCCGACAUGGCCGGCCUCGGCGGCGGCGCGCGACCUGGGAUGGACCAGUUCACGUCACUGGAAGAUCUGCCCUCCUGGUCGUCGGAUCUUGUCAUAGGCCAGAGCAGCCUGCGUCGGAUGUGGAGAUCAAGGCGACGGAGGCCUUUGUCGUCGAUGAUUUCUAGCUAGCGGCCGAGGUCUACGUCGACUGCAGCAGCGCCAUCUCCGAUGUUGAGUGCGCGCACGAGUCUAUCAGCGGCGCUCGCAAGAGUGGUGACGCACUUAUCUCCUCCGAGGAGUUCAUGGUCAUGGUGGCCUGAGGUGGCGCCUGCUUCGCCGACAUCGCGUGCGCCAGAUCUGAGGAACACACGAUGUGACAUAGUUCACGGCGGAUCUGGUCACGGGGUCGCCGUACCAGGACUUCACCAGGCCAGCUCGCCAUCACCAACCUCCCCGUGUGGUAGCCCGUGCCUUUUAACAGGUAUCCGCAUCUGUGAAGAAGAGGAAGGGGUACAAUCAGUCACCUCCUGAUCUGGAGGAGGGCGUGAUGUUGCUGAUGAGCUGGAGGGCAAGGGAGAAGGUUGCUAGCGACGAGGGUAUGGUUUUGUGAAUUCUCGUGAUGUUAUCAGUCUAGGGUGUCCUGUGGAAGAAUGAGGUUUGAUGGGCUCUGCAUUCUAUCUACAAUUUCUUGCACCACUUAUCUGAAUGUCUCGUUCAAAAUCAAAGACUGUAACCGAUUGUACAUACUGUGAAGGAUUGUGCAUUUCAGACAUUCAUAUAUCUGUACGGUCUGCCGAUUAAAACACCCAUGAUUGAUGUCUCAAUGAUCUGUGAUAUGCAAUCUAUGAUCUUUGCUCUUUUACUACUGUAUAUUCUCCUAAUAACUACUCCCUCAAAUUAUUCUUUAUCUCAUUAGUAUACAUUAUAAGCCAUCCAUAUAUGCCCCUUGUAAGUGAUUAGCAUUUCAAGUGCACUUCUGUCAGUACAAUUUGUUGACAUGGGUCGAGCUCAUUUAUCUUUAUAAUCUUGUUGCUACAUCAACUUUAUUAACAUAUUUAACAUGGUUCGAUCACUGAAUGGUGAUACUUUCCUAACAUAGCAUGGGUCACUAGCAUUACUGCAGUCAUGUGCAGUAGUUGACUUUAGCUUGAUAGGUAUUAUCCAACCAAAUAAGUAUUUCUCCCUUCUAUAUCUUGUUGUCAAUUACCUGUUUGUUUUUCACUAAUAGUGUUUUGUUUCUGUCAAUUGCUCGUACUAUUUGUCUCUCUCUAAUAGAGUAUUCCCUGGUAGUUAUGCCCCUUUUUUGUUGUUCUACUGUUCAUGCUGGCUGCUAAGAGAUUCACUGCUAGUUAAAUUUGCUCUUAUUUGCUUAAAUAAUAGAAUUAGUAUUGUUCUAGUAACAUAUAUGUUGUCAGUGGUUGCCUCUCUAUGAUCAUACAUAAUCUUUGUGAAGAAACCAGGAGUAAUCAUUAUUGGUUUCCGUACUCCAUGUUUUCCAUCUAAUUGUGGUAGACCUGAGCCAACCACGAACUAGUAGUGGGUCAUACGUAGUUAUGCUUCUGCUUUGAAUAGUCUCAUUUUAUUGCGAACUUUCUGUUUGAGCAAAUAAAGAAACACAAUAACUGAGCAAUGAUGCUUAUUGUUCUUUUGUUUAUUUUUCAGAUGUGAAGGAGUAAACCUGAUGCUUACCUGUGUGAUGGAGCGCAUCAAACACGGCCACGGCACCGCGUUUGCAGUCUAUAUAAAAAGGGUUAAUGAAACACCUUGGCCUUGUUAUUCUAGAAGAUGCCAUUGGCAACAUACUUGUCCACAGGAGCAGUACAAGAAGAACAGGAAGAUUCAGUGCUAUUGCUACUGAACUACACGGCCAGGUGGUUGUAGGUAGCCAUCUGCUGGAAAAUAAUGUUGGAGCGAGCGGUGCACACUGGAAGCAGUUGGCAGGUUGCCGUGAUCACAUCAGCGAUUAUCUAGCUUGUUGCCUACAAGUCCUGAUGAUGCAGCAGCUACAAGGCGAACCUGUAGGUUGGGAGAGGUCAUGCUAAUGCAGUUGACAGCGUUUGAUAGCUAUGUUAUUAUUGUAUUUAUCUGACUAAAGCCGUGGAAAUAGUGUAAAGGAUUUGGAUUUCUUGUAUUCUUCAGUUCUGAUUAAAUUACUUGUUUUUA